UGGUGGAGUGAUUUGUCUGGUUAAUUCCGUUAACGAACGAGACCUUAACCUGCUAAAUAGUUACGUUAACUUUGGUUGGCGGACAACUUCUUAGAGGGACUGUGGAUGUUUAAUCCACGGAAGUUUGAGGCAAUAACA
rnacentral:rRNA from 1 species